UGCUGGAAUGACAGGUGAGUACUACUGUGCCUGGCAAGACCACUUGCUUUUUUUUUUUUUUUUUUUUUUUUCGUCUUUUUGAGUUCAGGUUUUGGUCUUUCUGCAGUUCAGGCUAACCUUGAGCUCACUUUGUCACCCGGCUGGUCUUGAACUUGCAGUGAUCCUCCUGCCUCAGCCUCACGAGUGCUAGGAUUACAGAUCACUUUUUUUAGGUAAAACUUUUACACUGAAAUAUAACAUAUAUAUUUAUGUUAACAUAUUAGAUAAAAGCACAAAAAAUUAAGUAUACAGUUCCAAAAAAUUUUCAUAUAGCUAAUGCUUGUAAGGCAGUUGCCAGACCUAGAAAUGGAGCAUUGCCAGCACCCCAUAAUCCUACAAGCCCCAGUCACACCUAUUCCUAACACUUCUGCCCCCUUGGGAGUAACUACCAGCCUUACCUCUAUUUCUUUUUGUUUAGAUGAGAUCUGGCUAUGUUGCCCAGGCUGGCCUUAGCCUCUGAGUAGCUAGGACUACAGACAAUGCCACCACACUCAGCUGUUAUUCUAAAUUACUAAAGAUCUUACUGGUUUGGGAUCUUUGCGGACAUGGAAGCACACAGCAUGUAUUCUUUUUAGUCUGGCUUUUUUUUUUCCUCAUUACAUUAUGAGCUUCAUUCAUGUUGUACGAAGUCACACGUUUGAAUCUUGCAAUGCUCCUGCCAUUUCUGUAGUUAUUCUAAGGUAGAUGGGCCUUGAGGAUGAUUUACUGUUGUGUGUUGCUACAUAAAAUACAGCAUGUAACCGGGCUGCUAUGAACAUUCUGUUACCUGUCCUUGAGUGAAACUGUUUUGGGCUGGGGUUGGUGACACCUACUAAAGGGUGGAAUUGCUGUUCGUAGGGUAUGUUUAACUCCUAUAGAUACUACCAGACAGCUUCCCUCCUGUUUUCUGUAUGUAUUUUGUUUACUUUCUGGUCAAAGACAUCCUGGGUUCAUCUUCUGUGUCCUCUACGGGAACCCUGAAUCCAACCAUUUCUUUGAGAUGUCCUUGUGCUUUUGUGCAAGGAAUUGUAUGUGAAAGCUCAGUCUGGAACCUAGUUGUGCUCAUGCCCACUGGGAUGUCCUCAUUUUAAUUCCUUUUAGUGGUCAAAGCUAGAAAAUACACUAAAGAGCACAGUCAUGUGUUCACAUUGACAAGUCCAAUUUAACAUCACAAUUUUUUUCUUUAACUUUUAUCUAUUGAUAGGUGCAUUUCGUUUCUCUUACACUAAAAGUCUUGCUGGUAACAUCAAUAUAUUUGGUUCUAUAGUCUUGGCCUACAUUUACAUAAAACAAUUUCAAGAGUGCAAUAUCAAUGUUACUGCUGAUAAUAAGCUGUGUGAAUGAAAUGGUACAGGAGUAGAGCUUUGGAUUUCUUGGCAGUUCUGGUCCCUCAUCACUAAAUGGCUUACAUGUAACGGGGAAUAUGAAGAAUUCAUCCAGCAGUGUAAAAAGGGGCUGCUGGGUUCAGAACUAGGCUUGUGGGCCUGAUGCCUUCUGAACAUCGCUAGGGCUGAGCUCCCAGUGUUUGUGGCUUCUCUUUCCUUUCUCUAAUUCCCAUUCUGAAGAGUUCCAAGGUUUCCAUUGAGAACGGUGCACAGCUGGGCACAGCGCUCUCUCUCCUCUCUCAGAGGCUCUAGUUGACAUCGUCUAUCUUUCCUUCACCUUAGUGGUGAUGGUUAAUUUCUUUUUCUUUCAGUACUAGGCACUGAAUCCAGAUAUCCUCCAGCCCUUUUACAUUUAUUUCAUUCUGAGACGGAGUUUUGCUAAGUUGCUAAAUUUCCCUGGCUAGACUCAGUUCUCCUGCUUCAGCUUCCCUGAGUAUUGGGAUUAUAGCUAUGUGCCGCUGUGUCCAGGUGACAGUUAAUUUCAUGUGUCAACAUGGGUAGGCAGUGGUGCUUAGGUAUUAGAUGAAACCCUAGUUUAGAUAUUGUUGUGCAUCUACUGUCUGUCUAUUUAUCUACAAGGUCUUACUCUUGUUCAGCCAGGCUGGCCUCAAACUCACUAUGUAGUACAGGCUGGCUUUGAACUUGCUAUGAACUCCCUGCUUCAACUUCCUGAGUGCUGGGAUCAUACCAUGGCUGGCAUACUGUGCCACCUUUUAAAAACACGUGAUUAGUACUUAAUUAGUGAGUUUUAGAUAAAGCAGAUUGCUCUCUGUAAUGUGAUGGGCCCCACCCAACUAGUUGAAGGCCUGAAAAGACUGAAGUCCCUGGAAGAGAAAGGAAUUCUGUCUCCAGGCUGCCUCAGACUCAAGACACCAGUUUCUUGCUGGAACUGCCAAUUCAUCCCGUGGAAUUUGGAUGUCCCGGCCCCCCCUCACCCCUUGCCACACAGUAUUGGUUCUGAUUCUGUGAAAAACCUUAAUACAUUCAUAUCUCAAAGCUCAGUCAAAAUGUUUGGGAUCUUUGUGGCCUAGUUACAGCAUCAGGUGGGAAGAGGCUGCAGUGUUCAGGAAGGAGGGAAAGAGAGUAGAAAGGGCAGGAUGCAAGUGAGGAAAAUGACAUGUGAGAACAAAGGGCAGACUCUCACACAGAACAAGACCAAUGUAGUGGCUGCCAGCACAUGGGAGGGUGCCUCUUGUUUGGUUGGAACCAGAAUGUUCUCGUGGGCCAGGAGCAGCCUGUGCUUGGCUUCAAUGAGACAAGAAGGCUCCUGGGUUCCUUGACUGACUGUUCUUGCCAGGGGCUUUCGGUGCAACCAGGUGUGUGUGAUGGCCUGUGUUUGGGAACAGCUUCCCUUCAGCAGUGCAAGACAGUGGGUCAGAAGCUAAGGGCGUGCGCCGUUCAGUGAACAAAGGUUGAGGCUAAGUUACAGAUGACUACUGUUGUUACACCAGGAUCAGGUUUCCUCCAGCUUUCCCUCCUUCAUUCACCUUCCUCCUCCUCAGGAGGAGGCUUUGACAAGACAGCGGGAAACAGAAUAUGGAUAACCUUGGUGGUAUUCAAUGGGUAGCAGGACAGUUUAUUGCUAAUGACACUCCAUUCUGGGAUCAAAAAUCUCCUUCUGUGAGACUCCAAGUUUCCAUCACUGCCCUUCCACUAAGGAGUUGGGACCCUUGUGGGUGGAUGAGAGGGUGAGGGAAGACCAAUGAGACAGUACAAGCAGAGAAGAUAGGAGAGGGAGGAGACCCCUGAUACACAGUGACAGGGUGAGGAAAUGCUCACACAGUCUUUUCUGUGCUUGUACCUUGCUUAUUUAUUGACCUCUUUUGUUAGUGAGGUCCCCCUGCAGCAGUUGACAACCUGCAUACCUUCCUACUGAUAUAAAAUCAGGGUGACACUGUGAGAGCUGACCAGAACCCUCUUCCCCUCCCUGCGGGUUAGGGACAAGCUGGGCAACAGAAUGUUCUGUAAUCUAAAGAUAACUGCCAGUUUCCCCUAGCUAGCCACAAAAUGUUCUGUUCCCAGAACCUAAAACUGACGAACAACGGUGACCCAGCUACGACCCAACGCCCCUGGUUCCACAAUGCCCCAACCAAUCAGCAAUGAACAAGUACUGAUGUGAUCCAAACUAACCAAUACAAUUCGCUUCUGUAAUAACGCUUGCUUUGCAGUUUCUUGCUUUGAAAACUCUGCCUAUUCGACCCUCGGGUUUCCUCGGUGCCCUUUUGCCUGGGGACCCCAUAUGCAUGGUACAAUAAACUAUCGUCUCUGAAGAACUGCUGAGUCCUUGGAGUCCUUUCCCGUGACAACGACCCUUACAUUUGGAGGCCCUAGCGAGACCAGGCGUCUCGCGGAGACGGCCCCAACGAUCGGCUGUCCCCUUCGGAGGCUCAUCGCCCUCGAUAGCCUACAAAAGACCAUCUGGAAACAGCUGUCCUCAGCCUAUCAACCCAGUGACUGCCCUACUCCACACCAUUUCCAAGUGGGUGACUUCGUAUUGGUCCGACGGCAUCAAGCCGAAACCCUACAGCCCUGCUGGAAAGGACCAUAUCAAGUGCUCCUGACAACUCCGACGGCGGUCAAAGUUGAUGGAAUCGCAUCUUGGAUUCAUGCCUCGCAUUUAAAGCCCACUUCCCCACCAGCGGAAAACACCUGGACCAUAGAACGGUCAGCUAACCCCCUAAAGGUCAAAUUGCACCGCCGGAAAGCCCCCUAAAGACUUUUGUGCUCCUGAUGUUCUAUUACCCUAUUUGGUUUCUGGUUGUACUUUGAUUGGUUAUAUACUUCUUCUUAUCGGCCACCACUUACUGACCAUAUCCUUAAUGAUAAUAAGUAGCACCCCACUAUGUCUUAUACGCUACCCCUAGCUUCCCUACUUAUGGCUGGCUUGAUAGGCCAUUCCUCACCCACUGAUAACCCCCACAGGCCCCUAGAUCGAAAAUGGGUAAUUACCAACCCUGAGACAGAGACAUCCUUUAUUCUGGCUUCUAAGACUGGCCCAAAGACCCCAUGGUUCCCUGACCUAACCUUUGACCUAUGUAAACUGGCCGGAAAGUCCUGGCAUUUAGGGUUGGGACCAGGAAACCAGCUACGUCAUCAAUAUUACCCAUUCUCCCACCAGCCUCAAUGUAAAACAAAAGACUGGUAUAUUUGCCCGGGGGACACCCGCAUAUCUGAAUACAAGUGUGGGGGUUCUAACUAUUACUUUUGUGCGGCCUGGGGAUGUGAAACUUCGUACACCGGCCGAGAUUGGAAACCGUCCGGACCUCCGGAUUUAAUUACAAUAAAAAAGGCCCCACUAUCACCCCUGAGGGACUCCCAAGAGGGCAUUAUUUCUUUCACCACCCUUGGAAAGGCUACAACCGGUUGGGAAACAGGUAAAACUUGGGGACUCCAGUUAUAUGCCACCGGAUACCCUGGCAUAUUGUUUAUUCUAAAGUUACAAGAACAACCAGCCACCCCGAUUGUAUCUAUAGGACCAAACCCUGUCAUCAUAUCUAAAACUCUGCCUAAAUCUACCCAGUCGCCAACCACUCAGUGGCCAAUCAUCUUUUCACUGGUUAAUUCGCCUCAGACACCCAUAACAGUCCCACAACCCCCCCCUUAACAAACCCCCUGAGGCUAAAGCAGACCCUCUAUUUAACCUCAUCCUUGGAUAUGCAGCCCUAAACCAAACCCAACAAAACUUAACCAGCUCCUGCUGGUUAUGUUUGACUGCAUCCCCACCUUACUAUGAAGGCAUAGCAGUCAACGGCACCUACAGCAGGACUAAUGGAGACUCAUGUGACUGGAACAAUAACUAUCGGCUCACUUUACCAGAAGUUUCCGGACAAGGAUUAUGUUUAGGCACACCCCCCUCCCCAAUCUCAAAAUUGUGUACAAUUACCCAAUCUGUCACCCCAGCCUCUAACGGGGACUCUAACAAAUACUUAGUACCUGGGCUGGGGACUCGAUGGGCUUGUAACACUGGUCUCACCCCUUGUAUCUCAGCUGAAGUUUUCAAUAACUCAAUUCAUUACUGUGUUAUGGUUAAAGUGUAUCCUAGAGUUAUAUAUCACUCAGAUGAAGAUUUUCAGAUGCACCAAGCUAUACAACACCGAUAUCCACGAGAUGUGGCCACUUUAACUUUAGUCAUGCUCUUGGGCCUUGGUGUCACUGCAGGGAUAGGAACAGGAACUACUGCACUCAUAAAAGGAUCACAGCAACUGAGCCUCUUAGAGUUAGCCAUAAAUACAGACCUACAAGAACUAGAAAAAUCUGUGUCAGCUUUACAAACCUCCUUCACCUCCUUGUCUAAAGUAGUGUUACAAAAUAAAAGAGGACUAGAUCUCUUGUUUUUAAAAGAGGGGGGAUUAUGUGCUGCCUUAAAAGAAGAAUGCUGUUUUUAUGCUGACCACUCAGGAGUAGUAAAAGAGUCCAUGGCUAAAUUAAGAGAACGACUCCAAGCCAGACAAAAAGAGUUACAAAACGGACAAAACUGGUUUGAGUCCUGGUUUAAUCAGUCACCCUGGUUAACAACACUGCUCUCUGCAGUGGCUGGCCCUCUUAUAAUGCUAUUGCUCCUAGUCACAGUAGGCCCAUUUGUCCUUUCCAGACUCACUCAGUUUAUACGGUCUCAGGUAUCCCAGGUCAAGAUCCUGAUGCUGCAUCAACAAUAUGACCCCAUACCUCUCCAAGACCUUUAAGAUUAAAGGAAAUUUACAAGACAAGGGGGGAAUGUGAGAGCUGACCAGAACCCUCUUCCCCUCCCUGCGGGUUAGGGACUUUCCACAAGCUGGGCAACAGGAUGUUCUGUAAUCUUAACUUUUUCUUUCUUUCUUUUUUUUUUUUUUAUCGGUACCAGGGAUUGAACUCAUGACCGCCUGCUUGCAAGGCAGGUGCUUAUGCCACUAAGCUAAAUCCCCAGCCCCGGAUGUUCUGUAAUCUAAAGAUAACUGCCAGUUUCCCCUAGCUAGCCACAAAAUGUUCUGUUCCCAGAACCUAAAACUGACAAACAACGGUGACCCAGCUAGGAUCCAAUGCCCCUGGUUCCACAAUGCCCCAACCAAGCAGCAAUGAACAAGUACUGAUGUGAUCCAAACUAACCAAUACAAUUCGCUUCUGUAAUAACGCUUGCUUUGCGGUUUCUUGCUUUAAAAACUCUGCCUAUUCGACCCUCGGGUUUCCUCGGCGCCCUUUUGCCUGGGGACCCCAUAUGCAUGGUACAAUAAACUAUCGUCUCUGAAGAA